rnacentral:rRNA from 1 species
UACAGAGGUGGCAAGCGUUGUUCGGAAUUACUGGGCGUAAAGGGCGCGUAGGCGGCCUUCUAAGUCAGACGUGAAAUCCCCAGGCUUAACUUGGGAACUGCGUCUGAUACUGGGAGGCUUGAGUGCGGGAGAGGGAUGUGGAAUUCCAGGUGUAGCGGUGAAAUGCGUAGAUAUCUGGAGGAACACCGGUGGCGAAGGCGGCAUCCUGGACCGACACUGACGCUGAGGCGCGAAAGCUAGGAGAGCAAACGGG